rnacentral:tRNA from 1 species
GGGGGAUUAGCUCAAACGGUAGAGCGCUCGCUUUGCAUGUGAGAAGUAGCGGGAUCGACGCCCGUAUCCUCUG